rnacentral:rRNA from 1 species
CCUACGGGUGGCAGCAGUCGAGAAUCAUUCACAAUGGGGGAAACCCUGAUGGUGCGACGCCGCGUGGGGGAAUGAAGGUCUUCGGAUUGUAAACCCCUGUCAUGUGGGAGCAAAUUAAAAAGAUAGUACCACAAGAGGAAGAGACGGCUAACUCUGUGCCAGCAGCCGCGGUAAUACAGAGGUCUCAAGCGUUGUUCGGAAUCACUGGGCGUAAAGCGUGCGUAGGCUGUUUCGUAAGUCGUGUGUGAAAGGCGCGGGCUCAACCCGCGGACGGCACAUGAUACUGCGAGACUAGAGUAAGGGAGGGGGAACCGGAAUUCUCGGUGUAGCAGUGAAAUGCGUAGAUAUCGAGAGGAAUACUCGUGGCGAAGGCGGGUUCCUGGACAUUAACUGACGCUGAGGCACGAAGGCCAGGGGAGCGAAAGGGAUUAGAUACCCGAGUAGUC